GAUGAAGAACGUAGCGAAAUGCGAUAAGUAGUGUGAAUUGCAGAAUUCAGUGAAUCAUCGAAUCUUUGAACGCACAUUGCGCCCCUUGGUAUUCCAUGGGGCAUGCCUGUUCGAGCGUCAUUUGUACCUUCAAGCUCUGCUUGGUGUUGGGUGUUUGUCUCGCCUCUGCGUGUAGACUCGCCUCAAAACAAUUGGCAGCCGGCGUAUUGAUUUCGGAGCGCAGUACAUCUCGCGCUUUGCACUCAUAACGAUGACGUCCAAAAGUACAUUUUUACACUCUUGACCUCGGAUCAGGUAGGGAUACCCGCUGAACUUAAGCAUAUCAAUAAGCGGAGGA
rnacentral:misc_RNA from 1 species